rnacentral:rRNA from 1 species
AUUGAACGCUGGCGGCAUGCCUUACACAUGCAAGUCGAACGGUAACGGGCCUUCGGGUGCCGACGAGUGGCGAACGGGUGAGUAAUACAUCGGAACGUGCCCGAUCGUGGGGGAUAACGAGGCGAAAGCUUUGCUAAUACCGCAUACGAUCUACGGAUGAAAGCAGGGGACCGCAAGGCCUUGCGCGGACGGAGCGGCCGAUGGCAGAUUAGGUAGUUGGUGGGAUAAACGCUUACCAAGCCGACGAGCUGUAGCUGGUGUGAGAGGAUGAUCAGCCACACUGGGACUGAGACACGGCCCAGACUCCUACGGGAGGCAGCAGUGGGGAAUUUUGGACAAUGGGCGCAAGCAUGAUCCAGCCAUGCCGCGUGCAGGAUGAAGGCCUUCGGGUUGUAAACUGCUUUUGUACGGAACGAAAAGCCUUCGUUUAAUACAGGAGGGUCAUGACGGUACCGGAAGAAUAAGCACCGGCUAACUACGUG